rnacentral:rRNA from 1 species
AACAAAUAUUAAAGGCAAUGCCUGCCCAGUGAACUAUUAAACGGCCGCGGUACCCUAACCGUGCAAAGGUAGCAUAAUCAUUUGUCUAUUAAUUGUAGACCUGUAUGAAAGGCAAAAUGAGGAUUUAACUGUCUCUUAUAAUCAAUCUAUUAAACUGAUCUCCUAGUAAAAAAGCUGGGAUAUCCUCAUAAGACCAGAAGACCCUGUGAAGCUUUAACUAAACUAUUAAACUCAAUAAUAACUACUUUAGGUUGGGGCGACCUUGGAAACAAAAAGAACUUCCAAACUACACCUAUAAGGCCCACAAGCCAAUAACGACCCAGUAUAGCUGAUUACUGAACUAAGUUACUCCAGGGAUAACAGCGCCAUCUUCUUCAAGAGCCCAUAUCAAAAAGAAGGUUUACGACCUCGAUGUUGGAUCAGGACAUCCUAAUGGUGCAACCGCUAUUAAAGGUUCGUUUGUUCAACGAUUAAUGUCCU